rnacentral:rRNA from 1 species
UACAGAGGUCCCAAGCGUUGUUCGGAUUCAUUGGGCGUAAAGGGUGUGUAGGUGGCGCCGUAAGUCGGGUGUGAAAUCUCGGGGCUUAACUCCGAAACUGCAUUCGAUACUGCGGUGCUUGAGGACUGGAGAGGAGACUGGAAUUCAUGGUGUAGCAGUGAAAUGCGUAGAGAUCAUGAGGAAGACCAGUGGCGAAGGCGGGUCUCUGGACAGUUCCUGACACUGAGACACGAAGGCCAGGGGAGCAAGCGGG